ensembl:snRNA U6 U6 spliceosomal RNA
GUGCUUGCUUCAGCAGCACGUAUACUAAAAUUGGACUGAUACAGAGAUUAGCAUGGCCCCUGCGCAAGGAUGACAUGCAAAUUUGUGAAGCGUUCCAUAUUUUU